rnacentral:rRNA from 1 species
AUUGGACGCUGGCGGCAGGCCUAACACAUGCAAGUCGGACGGUAGCACAGAGGUGCUUGCUCCUCGGGUGACGAGUGGCGGACGGGUGAGUAAUGUCUGGGGAUCUGCCCGAUAGAGGGGGAUAACCACUGGAAACGGUGGCUAAUACCGCAUAACGUCGCAAGACCAAAGAGGGGGACCUUCGGGCCUCUCACUAUCGGAUGAACCCAGAUGGGAUUAGCUAGUAGGCGGGGUAACGGCCCACCUAGGCGACGAUCCCUAGCUGGUCUGAGGGGAUGACCAGCCACACUGGAACUGAGACACGGUCCAGACUCCUACGGGAGGCAGCAGUGGGGAAUAUUGCACAAUGGGCGCAAGCCUGAUGCAGCCAUGCCGCGUGUAUGAAGAAGGCCUUCGUGUUGUAAAGUACUUUCAGCGGGGAGGAAGGCGAUGUGGUUAAUAACCGCGUCGAUUGACGUUACCCGCAGAAGAAGCACCGGCUAACUCCGUGCCAGCAGCCGCCGUAA